AAAAAAUGGGACAUGCAUGUACAUAUUCCUACCAUGAAUCUGACUCCACAGGGCUACAAAAUAUUUAACCUUCAUUUCAGGAGUGCUAGUGUGCUUCAGGUAGGUUUCAUACAGUUUAUUUGUCCUGACAAAAAAUCACCCUAUCAGCCUUCUCAUGAGCAUCCAGUGACAGAGAUGUGGAAAAGAACCUUCUGUGGGGAGAGUAAAGUUUGAAACAGUGAGGAACAGAGGAUGAUGUUCGAGAAGCCACAGGAGGAGACACCAGUGGACACCAGCAAGGAGAGGAGCCAGGGAGAAGGAAAUGGGGAAGACAUUCCUCAAGGAGCAGCUCUGAGCUCCGCGGCUUUGGGGGCCAUGGAGUCACAAGAGCUUAAGAUGUCCCUUCAGCACCAGCUGGGCAUGGGCAAUAGUGAGAGGAGAGGGUGGCAGCUAUGACAUCAGUGUUUGUGUCUUUACCUGCACAUGGGGAGAAAAUUCCAUCUGUUUCCCAUAAGUAGGGCCAUCUUUGAACAGAAGAGGCAGUUGUGUGUUUCCACAAAUGUGGCGACAUACAUUGUAGGACACGCCAAGACUUUGCUGUAGCCCAGCCAUAGGCUCUUAGACUUUGGCGGGUUGUUCUCUUCCCCCUAUCCCUUCAUUUCUUCUGUCCACCAAAAUGUAUUGAGUUCAUCCUGGGAGCCAGACACUGGUAGGUGCUGGGGAUAUAGGCAGGAAUGUGCUUUCAUGAGAGACAAGAAAGCCUGACCUUGCUGCCACAGAAAUUUCAUUGCACUGUGAGACAGAGAUGUGCCAAUAGAAAGAUCCACAUAAGAAGCAUAAGAAGAAGCAUAAGAAGAGCAUAAGAAGCAUUAGAACGGGCAUGAAAGUCCAUCCAGGGGACACUUUUUACCCAAAUUUGAGAGGCCAGGAGAGCUUCCUGGAGAAAGUGACAUGUAAGGCAAGACCUGAAAGACAAACCCAAUUACCUGGAGAGGUGAGGAAGGAAGAGGGACAGGUGUUCCAAGAAAGGCAGAUAGCAUAUUGAGGGGAGCAGUGGGAAAGAGAAGGGGAACUCCAGGAACUGAAGUGAUCCCCACCACCAGAGCAUGGAGUGUGAGUGAAAAGUCUGCAGAGGGCUGGUGACCGGGACCUCUGAACACGGGAGGCCAGACAGUAUUCUAAGAUCAACGGGAAACCAUUGCAAAGUUUCACCCAGAGGAGUAAUGUGAUCAGAUUUGCAUCUUAGAACAGUUGUUUUGGCACUUCUGACUGGAAGGGCAAGAAUGGCCAGUGUUGUUGUUACCUGAAGGGUAAAUGUGGCCCACAAUAUGAAAUGCAGUGAAGAAGGAGACAUAUGCAUAUAUGUAAGUAAAUAUAAUCGAGGUAUAUUUAGCAGACAGAAUCAAUAGACUUGAUGAGUGAUGGACUGGAUGUGUGAGGAGUCUAGAUCACUUCCAAGUUGCUGAUUUGGGCAACUCAGUACUAAUCAAUGAAAAAGAAGAUCCACAGGGAGGAACUUGUCUAAGGGGUGAGGUGGGGCUGAACAGCUGCGUUUGAGACUGGAGAAGUGUGUGCUGGGCAUGGGAUGCACAAGUGGAAAUGCCUUUGGGUCUGCAGCUCAGACGUGGGCAUGACCAGCAUAGAGAUAGAGAGGCCCCAGGCUGCCAGGUGAGUGUGAUCCCCAGGUGAUGGUGUCAGCUGAGAAGGGAAGGAAGCCCCUGUGAGGACACUGAAGUGGCGAGGGCAGACAACAAGGAGUCCACAGGAGACAGGAAAGGAAGAACUAGAGGGAGGAGCCAAGCCAGGCAUGUGUGGUGACAUAGGAACCGAGGGAGAGGACAUCUCAAGAUUGAGGGGACGCUGCACAACAGGAGGACUGUGUGGUUUUUGGCCACAUCCACAGGAAGUCACAACAGGCAAGGAAAAGAAACUGGCAAUCAGACAUGGAGUUGAGGAGUGAAUCAGAGAGGAGAUGGGCAGGGACAGCAGGGUGAGGCCUCUUUCUGAGGAAGUUUGGCUAAAGGAUAGAUCAGCUGGGACACAUGCUGGAAGGGUGUAUGGGGUGGAGGGAGGAACGGUGGAGGGCAGGAGAGCCUUGAGCCUGAGAGAAGAGUCUCCUAGAAUAGAGAAGCCGAGGUUAAAAUUGUGGGAGAGAGUGGGGAUAACUGAGUGACAGAUAAUCAGGAGAACAAAAGGAGCUCCAGAAUCAUGACAGAGAGAUGACCUUUGCCAAGAGCACAGCCCCCUCCCCUGUGACAGAGGGGUAGGACAAAACAAUUGGUGUUCAAGUGUUGGUUUAACUAUGUCCUUUAAAACAUUUCUCCACAGACACUGCCCAAAGCAGCCCUUCACUACAGUGGCAGAUACACCUGCAAAUCUUCGCCUAAAACAGUGACCUGACCAAGCUAACUGCUGCUGCCUGGAACACUGUCCUUACUUUAGAAAUGUCGACCAGAUUGUAGGAUACCCAAACAACCUUUUCAAGCAGAAAGCAAACAGAUUAAGAAAGUAGCCAGAUGAGUUAGCGAGCCCAACAGUGACUUUUGUUUCUUUUUUUCCCUGUUCCCUUUUCUUUUCAUGAUAGGAAAGGCUGGACAGGGAUGCGUUGCAAAAGCAGUGAUCUAGCUUAUCUUGCCACCACCCAGGAUGGCCCAGGAUGUGGGUUCUCCUUGAAUGAAUGUUUGGCAGUCUGGCAGCCUGACAUGGUCUGCCUCCUUCUUUGGUCUGAGCUUGCCCACUGCUUAGAAAGGGCCAUGGGCAGUUCUGUCAGGGAGUUUUCCCAACAUUGAGAAGGUGACAUUUCUACUCCCCGUUGCAGUCUGCACCUCUGACCUGUGGUCAGCAGACAGGACAGAGGCACUCAGUAGACAGAGCUCAGAGGACAGCACUCAGUCCCGGCGGAAGGUUCAAUGUCCAGCUUUGCACCCACCCCAUGUGACCACAAGCAGGCUCCAUGACCUUGUGGGUCAGUUUCCUCACCCUGUUCAGGAGGAAUUGUACUACCAUCCUGUUAGGAAAUUUGUGAGGAUCACUGCGUUACUCAUGUAAGGUCUUUGGAAAGUGUCAUGUUAUUGUUUAUUAACUGCUUGUUGGUGGCCUGGCUGAGCCACAUCCUUUAUGAAAACCAGAACCCCUCAGCAGGUGUGGAUGUCUGUGCAGCCUGAGACCCUUGUGUGAACAGCCUUCUGGCAGCUGUUUUUUCCCCUUGCCACAAUCAGUGCCUCCCUGUCCCCAGGCGUUGCUUUCUCUGCUGGGUGCUGGGUGCUCCACUGUUUUCCUACACCUCAGUUGUCUACAGGUGUAUGUCUGUUCUGGAAUCUAACUGAGGUGGCAUCGAUAGCAGUUCUGCUGUGGCACUGCCCUUCUUCUUAGGUUGUCUUUUGAGAGCAAGAGAGGUCCCUUCACAUACCCCAAGAACUUACCUGCAUUUGCCCACAUAGUCUCCAUUUAGAAAAUGGGAAAAGUCACGUCUGCCUACCUGCCAAUGGGGUAAGAGGUAAGUUUCUUGUUGAAAUCUGAGCAGAAAAAUAUGACCAAUUCUAUACCCAUUGAAGACAUGUAUGAGAAAUUAAAACAAUUCUUUUUUUUUUAUACUUUAAGUUUUAGUGUACAUGUGCACAACGUGCAGGUUUGUUACAUAUAUAUACAUGUGCCAUGUUGGUGUGCUGCACCCAUUAACUCGUCAUUUAACAUUAGGUAUAUCUCCUAAUGCUAUCCCUCCCCCCCCACCUCACAACAGGCCCCAGUGUGUGAUGUUCCCCUUCCUGUGUCCAUGUGUUCUUAUUGUUCAAUUCCCACCUAUGAGUGAGAACAUGUGGUGUAAAACAAUUAUUUAUGGACUGUACCUCAUAUAAAUUCCUAGAAUUAAGUUCUAAAAAAAAAUUCAAGGAGGACAUAAUAAUUUUCUAUAAAUUAGAAAAUUCUAUACUGUGCAAUUAAAUAAAAUGGCAGCAUAGCUUUGAAACUAAAAUCAGAUAAGGUAAAUUGAAGUAUGUGAUGAAUAAAAAUACCAUAAAUUGUGACCAAUAUGAUUUCAAAAUAUGAUAUGGUAGAUUAACAUUGAAAAUGCAAUAAAUAAAUUAGCCACCAUAAGAGGUUAAUAGAGGAAAAAUAUGAUUAUUGCAAUAGAUACGGAAAUUCAUGGAAUAACAUUCACCAUAUAUUUACAGGACAACUACCUUAUAAACUUUAAAUGACUUAUUGCAACCAUCUGAAUUAAUGUUGCUUAAACAGCAUGUAUCUUGGCUGCUUAAAAACCAGAUAAGAAUUUCCAUAACAUUAAUUUAUUUAUAACACCAUAUUGGGUGUGAACCUAUCAUAAAGUUCACCCAACUAUAAAGGUACACAAUUGAUGAUUUAUUAAAUUGACACUGUGUGUAGCCAUCACCAUGAUCUAACUUAAAAAUGUUUGUUUCUCUGGGGGAGAAGCCAAGAUGGCCGAAUAGGAACAGCUCUGGUCUACAGCUCCCAGCAUGAGCGACACAGAAGACGGGGGAUUUCUGCAUUUCCAUCUGAGGUACCAGGUUCAUCUCACUAGGGAGUGCCAGACAGUGGGCGCAGGACAGUGGGUGCAGCACACCGUGUGCGAGCCAAAGCAGGGUGAGUCAUUGCCUCACUCGGGAAGCACAAGGGGUCAGGGAGUUCCCUUUCCUGGUCAAGGAAAGGAGUGACAGACGGCACCUGGAAAAUCGGGUCACUCCCACCCAAAUACUGUGCUUUUCUGACGGGCUUAGGAAACGGCACACCAGGAGAUUAUAUCCCGCACAUGGCUCGGAGGGUCCUAUGCCCACGGAGUUUCGCUGAUUGCUAGCACAGCAGCCUGAGAUCAAACUGCAAGGCGGCAGCAAGGCUGGGGGAGGGGCGCCCGCCAUUGCCCAGGCUUGCUUAGGUAAAGCAGCCAGGAAGCUCAAACUGGGUGCAGCCCACCACAACUCAAGGAUGCCUGCCUGCCUCUGUAGGCUCCACCUCUGGGGGCAGGGCACAGACAAACAAAAAGACAGCAGUAACUUCUGCAGACUUAAAUGUCCCUGUCUGACAGCUUUGAAGAGAGCAGUGGUUCUCCCAGCACACAGCUGGAGAUCUGAGAACAGGCAGACUGCCUCCUCAAGUGGGUCCCUGACCCCUGACCCCCGAGCAGCCUAACUGGGAGGCACCCCCCAGUAGGGGCAGGCUGACAUCUCACACGGCCGGGUACUCCUCAGAGACAAAACUUCCAGAGGAACGAUCAGACAGCAGCAUUCGCGGUUCACGAAAAUCCGCUGUUCUGCAGACACCGCCACUGAUACCCAGGCAAACAGGGUCUGGAGUGGACCUCUAGCAAACUCCAACAGACCUGCAGCUGAGGGUCCUGUCUGUUAGAAGGAAAACUAACAAACAGAAAGGACAUCCACACCAAAAACCCAUCUGUACGUCACCAUCAUCAAAGACCAAAAGUAGACAAAACCACAAAGAUGGGGAAAAACAGAGCAGAAAAACUGGAAACUCUAAAAAGCAGAGCGCCUCUCCUCCUCCAAAGGAACGCAGUUCCUCACCAGCAACGGAACAAAGCUGGACGGAGGAUGACUUUGACGAGGUGAGAGAAGAAGGCUUCAGAUGAUCAAACUACUCCGAGCUACAGGAGGAAAUUCAAACCAAAGGCAAAGAAGUUG
rnacentral:lncRNA from 1 species